rnacentral:lncRNA from 1 species
CUUAUCAGUUAUCUCUCGGUUUCCUACUUGCCUUCUUCAUUUUUGAUUUUUUUCCUUUGAUUGAUUCAUUGUUUCCUUCUCAAGCCAAAGAUUAUUGAGCAAAUCAUACAUAAAUAAAUAUAUUAUUUAUUUAUACUAUAUAAGAUUCAAAUUACAAACCAAUGAAACCAUAGAAGAAGAAAAAUCUGCGGCUCAAAUUAAUCAGUCAAUCUUUAGAAAAAAUCAAAAUUUCUCGUUUCUCCAAAGUCGAUCGGCCUUCAACAUUUGAAGAUUGUUGAAGAUAAUCCGGUAAUUUUGUAUUUUUUGCAUAAUACCUCAUUAUUGGUUGAUUGCAAUUUGUACCCCUUUUUGUUUAUAAUUUUUUCGAUCUUUCACUGCCUAGGCUGGGAGUUAAAUUAUCGGUUAUUGGAUCUUCAGUUGCUAGAUUAAAGGUGCGAGUUUUUCAUUUUUGUUUUCAUUUUGAUUGCGUAGUUGUUGAUUUGCUUGGGUCUCUUCAAUUAUUUUGGGUUUACAUUAAUUGUAAAAUGUUUUCUGAUUAUGAAAAUUAGUUUGGUCCAAAUGCUAGAAGCCAUAUUGAUUACCAUUAUGUUUCAUCAGCAAGUGGUGAUACUGAUACAGAUUGUGGAACAAAAGCACAAGGAGUUGUGGCACGUCUUCUGGGAAUGGAUUCAUUGCCAACUUCAAACGUUUUUUUUUUUUUUACCCCUAUUCUACUCCGUUUAUAGGGUCUCACUCUUUCAGAGAUUCUCGUUACUUGGGAACCCCCGUGUUUUAGAAUGAACAUGAUAUUGUAAUCUUUGAAAGAGUGAACAUGAACCCGUGUCUUCUAGCAUUCGGACCAGUUGUAGCUCGUGAUGUGGCAACAGAAAUUCAUGAUGGCUGUUAUCUAAAAAUUUAUCAUGUAUUUCCUGCUGCCUGUGUGAUUUUGAAUUUUUUUCCCCAAAUAAUGAAUUUCAAAUUAAUAUAGCUUUUACCCCGUUUGUCAAUAGACAAUAGGUUACUGAAGAAGUCUUGGAUGGUAAGAUCCGUAUGUUCUACACUUCAUCCAAAACCACUAGGUUUCUCAAACAAUUUGUUUUAAGAUUGGAUCUGCUAAGUCUGCUAGGACCCAAAACCUUUUUCAAUUUGUUUAAUAAGUUGGAUGUAAACAGACUGGAUAGCACUAGAAAAAUUACUGAACAAUUUGUCAAUUUUGUUGUUCAUUCUAUGCUUCUAGGAAUUAAACAUACCCAAUAACCACUCUUAGAUGUUUGUUCAUUUAUUCAAGAUACGAUGUGAUCAAUCAUGUAAAAUAAAGUCCAGACAAAAUCCCAUAGUAAAGUAGGGUACCUAAUUUCGUGUUACACGUUUUCUCCAAUCCGUCAUGUUGUGAGCAUUUAAUUUACCUUGACUGAUCAUUUUAAUUUAUCUCCAAUUUGUCGCGUUUUCUCCAAUCUAUCAUGUGAGCAUUUAAUGAUCUAUUAUGAAGUUCUCAACACAUAAUUGUCGAGCGUUUGCAAUGUCAAACCCUUAUCAUGAGCAACUCUGACCUUUAAAUACCAUCCCCCCCGUAAACAAACCCUUCCAAUAGUUCUCUCCUCCUUUCUCUUCUCUUAUAGGAUUUGAAAAUCCGGUGGUGCAUACUACAAGGGGAAUGCCUUCUCUCAACUUCAUGACCUGGG